AUUGAACGCUGGCGGCAGGCCUAACACAUGCAAGUCGAGCGGAUGAAGGGAGCUUGCUCCUGGAUUCAGCGGCGGACGGGUGAGUAAUGCCUAGGAAUCUGCCUGGUAGUGGGGGAUAACGUCCGGAAACGGGCGCUAAUACCGCAUACGUCCUGAGGCAGAAAGUGGGGGAUCUUCGGACCUCACGCUAUCAGAUGAGCCUAGGUCGGAUUAGCUAGUUGGUGGGGUAAAGGCCUACCAAGGCGACGAUCCGUAACUGGUCUGAGAGGAUGAUCAGUCACACUGGAACUGAGACACGGUCCAGACUCCUACGGGAGGCAGCAGUGGGGAAUAUUGGACAAUGGGCGAAAGCCUGAGCCAGCCAUGCCGCGUGUGUGAAGAAGGUCUUCGGAUUGUAAAGCACGUUAAGUUGGGAGGAAGGGCAGUAAGUUAAUACCUUGCUGUUUUGACGUUACCAACAGAAUAAGCACCGGCUAACUUCGUG
rnacentral:rRNA from 1 species